rnacentral:rRNA from 1 species
UACGGAGGGUGCAAGCGUUGCUCGGAAUUAUUGGGCGUAAAGGGCAAGUAGGUGGUCUCAUUUGUCUGGGGUGAAAUCCUUGGGCUUAACUCAAGAAGUGCCCCAGAAACGGUGAGACUCGAGUCCUGGAGAGGUGAGUGGAAUUCCCGGUGUAGCGGUGAAAUGCGCAGAUAUCGGGAAGAACACCCGUGGCGAAGGCGGCACUCUGGGACGGUACUGACGCUGAGACGCGAAAGCGUGGGGAGCGAACAGG